CCUGCUCCCGGGCCCGACUGCGGCCGCCCCGGUCCCUCCGCUCCGCCAGGUGCGCCACACGGCGGCCGCCGGCGCGCGGCAGCCGUUAGCUCGGCCCCGCGGCGCCCCGCGGCGGGGGUGGGAUCCGCGGCCGCCUUGUUGCCUCCUCAGCGCGCUUCGGGGCCGGUAGGAGCUUCGGGAUGCCUCCGGUCUGCGGUAUUCCAAAUUCAGAAAUGUGCUACUGACGCAUUUGAGGAAGGAUUAGAGCGUAUCACCCAAUAUAUGCAAGUCUGAAAUGAGAGAAGGUUGCAUCAGGAUACUGUUGGCAAGGUUGCCACCUAAAUCAGCUAAUGGUCUCCUCUGCGAAAAUGGAAAAUAAUCCUUAACUUUCAAGGUCAGUCUGACAAUGCGGCUUGUUUAUGUUUGGUGCAUUGCUUCUUCAGCUACUGCUCUGAAAAGAAGUUGGGCUUUUUUGGAAUACCUAACAUGAGAAAUAUCCAGACUUGGAUAUUUGGAAACCAGUUUUGAAACUAUGAUGGCCACACUCCUGGGUUCUGUGAACUUCAAGUGGUACGUACACAUAUACACAAUUCUCUGAAUUAUCAUUUUCUUAAACUAGUCCCCAAACCCCAAUAAAUGUUAGCUGAGGCUUCAGUGAUAUUAAAGGAUUCAUCCUGUUCCUGACCAUGCCUGUGGCGCUACAAGGCUGUCAGAGAAUCACUUCCACCAAACAGUCACCAUUAUUUUUAGAGCCAAGCUGGGAACGCUUGUACCACUGACUCAGGACCAGCCUAGCCGCAUCUCAAGCCAUUGCUCUUCAAGGCAUUUGCCUUUUUUUUUACUUCAGAACCUUCCCAAGUUUUGUUGAAUAUUCUCACAAUUACCUAAUUGUUCCAAAUAGAAUUAGGCAUCUUUAAGUUUUCUGAAAACACAUGUCAAUAUUUUAUCUCUACCCUAUAUAAUUGUAUAUUGUCCUUUGUUUAGCCAUGCUGAGUGUUGUCUCCUAAACAUUUAAACUUAUGUCAUUUCUAACAAAUCUUCUACAAAGUAAUCAGCAAAACCAUUAGAUUAAAAAAGAAAACAAAAAAAAGACAAAAGGUAAAGCCUAGUUUUGAAAAUGAACCUAUUUAAAUACGUUGUUAUUAAAAAAUGUAAGAACCACAGGAAAAACACUGCCUGCCGCCCUUCUCCACUAUAUGAUCACUGCUAUACCUGUUGUGCUGAUCCUGAGGGCUAAUUAAUUCAUUUUUCAUCCUCACGGUGGUGAUCCUUAGAAAUCUGAAGGAUUAAAGGUCUAUGACUUUUCAGCAUCUUUUGGCUAUGAAAUGAUUCAUCACACAUAGACUUUUCUUUUUUCUGUAUAUUUGACUAAGUAAGAAUAGUCAGAAAAAAUCAUGAAACAAAGAGUGACCUUUGCAACUUAAGAAGAAUAUCCACUGAUCUGCCUCUUGAAGACAAUUAUGCUUCUGUAUUUUUUUUGACUACUUCUGGAUUUGG